rnacentral:tRNA from 1 species
GCGCCUGUGGCGCAAUGGAUAGCGUGUUUGAUUCCGAUUCAAAAGGUUGCAGGUUCGAUCCCUGCCAGGCGCACCA